CUGGAUUAUAACCUCCAUCUGGGUCAAAUCGCCUGCAGUCUCAAUAGCUGAUUUGAGGUCAGUGUUAGAAGACCCGACCAAAACGGUACCGUUUCCAACAAAAGCGGGCAGCGACCGGCCAUCAGCCAACAAAGCAUUUGUCGCAGAGACCAAGACCUCAUUAUUUUGAAACCCAACGAAGACGCUCCAAGAUUUGAGCUCAUCACGUCCGUUGUUGAGCACGGUUACAGUGGAUUCGAAACGGUACGGUUGGUUAGUGGGGUCAGUGGGCGGGAUAGGAUAGCCUCCGGUGUAGUUGUAGGACAAGAACACACCAUUGCAGGUGGUCUUUAAUGGCUGAGAGAGAGAACUGUACACAAAGAAUGAGACUAUAACAAAAAUAAGCAAUAGAUUCCUGUUAGCCAUAUGGGUUAUUUUUUUGUAGUGGGUAACCAGAUUAUGAAUUAACAAAAGAGAAG
rnacentral:misc_RNA from 1 species